rnacentral:rRNA from 1 species
CAGCCGCCGCGGUAAUACGUAGGGUGCGAGUGUUAAUCGGAAUUACUGGGCGUAAAGCGUGCGCAGGCGGUUGUGUAAGACAGGUGUGAAAUCCCCGGGCUUAACCUGGGAACUGCGCUUGUGACUGCACAGCUAGAGUAUGGCAGAGGGGGGUGGAAUUCCACGUGUAGCAGUGAAAUGCGUAGAGAUGUGGAGGAACACCGAUGGCGAAGGCAGCCCCCUGGGCCAAUACUGACGCUCAUGCACGAAAGCGUGGGGAGCAAACAGGAUUAGAUACCCCUGUAGUCCCUGUCUCUUAUAC